GCCGCCGCCGCGUCCGCCUUCCGCGGGUCGGCGCGCGUCUACCCGCACCCGUCUUCCGGCGGCCUGGCGCCGCUCGUCCCCCGCGCUUCCUCCCUGCACCCUUUCCGCGCGUCUGCCGCGCCCUCCCGGCGCCGCCUCCUGCCCUGCCCGCACCCCGCGCCCCGCGGGCGGCCCCGAGGGAGGCGGGAACCCGGCGCCAGGGCCGCCGCGAGGACACGCGCCCCGGUGGGGCUGCCGCACGGUUCGGCGUCCUCACAGCCCUGAGGGCGGCUCUCCCUGACGGUAGCGCGCGGGGCCGGGGGGCGGCGGCGCCCGUGGUGCUCUGCGCUGGAGGCUCGCGUCGGGACGGUUCGGCUCAGCUAAGUGGCCCGGAGCACUAACAUUGCCUCCCCGGGAGGUGGCCCCGGCACCCCGUUUGCGAGUGAGCUGGAGGAGACAGGCCCGGGUGGUUCCGAUUUGGAUGUCCCCUUGCAGACUGAAGUGAUUGAUUUAAUCAUGAUGGCAUGGCUGUCAAGAUAUUAUUACCACUAUUGUCAGCAGCCUAAUAAUUACAGGUUGAGAUGGCCUUGGUGACAUACUGUAUAAUCAAGCCCUGCUUCCAGGCCUGAUGGACAUCCUGUGUACCAGGUGUGCUCAGAUGGCUGCUGGGAUCAUUUUUGUAUCUAUUCAUCAUUAAACAUCUUUACCAUUUUAGCAGUGGAGGCUUACAAAAAAAUCCUUUUUCAUGUAAUUGCUCUCUGAAGAGCCAGCAGUGUUACUCAUUGUCACCAAAACCCAGAUGGUAUUUUGAUUCUGCACUCAAAUUGGUUUCUGAAUUUCUUUCCAGGCCCUGUAAGCACCUUAAAAUUUCCAUUUCUCAGGUCAAGCUGUUCUUUAAUCAGCCGGAGAGUACAGGACACAUGCAUUUCUUAGUCUCUCACGAACUGAAACAUUAAAAAGCAUACGUAAGUGUACACAUUUUGAGAAGAGGAAGAAGGGCACCCUCUCCCUGGUACUCCGUCAUAGCUCAUGCUUUGCUGCGUGACGUGCAGAGGCUGAGGAAGAUGGGAGCACUGAGCUGUCUUUGGCUAAACCAGGGCCAGAGCACGUGACCAGUCUUCCCUGUGGGCCAGGCUGGCACACGGCAGGCAUGGGCCUCCUGGUUAGAAUGGCACAGUCGCACCCCACUAGGCUGGUCAGUAAAUCAGUUCCCCUUGGUUCCCAAGAAAGUCACAGGACUUUGGAGGUAAAGAAAAACUUGGAGGCCUUCCAGCUCACAUUUCAGAUGGGGAGUUGGGUGCACCCAGGCGGGGAAGCGACAGAGUCAGAAUCACACCUCUGACUCCAGGGCUCUUUGCUCCAAGGGUAGGAAAGGCUGGAAAGAGCCUGCUGCCUGUCCCUAAGCUUCUGUCCUGUGACGAUACAGUGGCAGGUUGGGCCGGGCCUUCAGGGGAAGGUGAGCUCGGAGGAAAGAGGCCGCCAUGCCAGGCCUCCAGGAGUGGGCUGACCUGGCCUUUCCCCAGCUCUGGAUGUCUUGGCUGACGCUGGUCUUGGUGCCACCUGGCCCCUAAGUUGUGGAGUGUGGAACAUUCUCCUUUACCCUACAAUGUGGCUUCUGUCCAUUUCCUUCCCGAUAUUUGCCAUGCAUGGAAUGCUGGCAUGAUUCUAUGAUGCCAGCCUUCGACUUCAGGUCUUAAGGGCCCGCCAGGUGAGCCAUGUCAGCAUUCCGUGGAUUUGGAGGUCUGCCUACUGGCGGGCUUUCCAUGAGGAAGCCAAGACGAUGGAGCUGACUGAGCAGCCCCAGCUGUGGCAGAUUGGAAAGCUCAAGAGGAAGCUCAACGUCAGUGGUAGACUUAUUUUAGGAUAGAUGGUCCAAAAUGGGAGCCCCCAUGCUUAUCUAGGAAAAUGCUCAACCAGAAAAUGACAGAUCCCCUAAAAUUACUCCAUUUGUU